rnacentral:rRNA from 1 species
GGAGUUAGCCGGUGCUUCUUCUGUGAGUGAUGUCCUUCCUGCCGGCUAUUAACCCGCAGGCCUUCUUCCUCACUGAAAGUGCUUUACAACCCGAAGGCCUUCUUCACACACGCGGCAUGGCUGGAUCAGGGUUGCCCCCAUUGUCCAAUAUUCCCCACUGCUGCCUCCCGUAGGAGUCUGGGCCGUGUCUCAGUCCCAGUGUGGCUGAUCAUCCUCUCAGACCAGCUACGGAUCGUCGCCUUGGUGAGCCGUUACCUCACCAACCAGCUAAUCCGACAUAGGCUCAUCCGAUAGCGCGAGGCCCGAAGGUCCCCCGCUUUCCCCCGUAGGGCGUAUGCGGUAUUAGCCUGGGUUUCCCCAGGUUAUCCCCCACUACCGGGCAGAUUCCUAUGCAUUACUCACCCGUCCGCCGCUCGCCACCAGGGAGCAAGCUCCCCGUGCUGCCGCUCGACUUGCAUGUGUUAGGCCUGCCGCCAGCGUCAUCUGAGCCAUGAUACAACUACUGA